ensembl:lncRNA AGA-DT AGA divergent transcript
AGCCGGAUAGAAACCUUAUGCCUCAGGAUCUUGCUUUGGAAGUCACAUAGCAUCACUUCUUCUGUUAUCUACAGGUCAAAACAGUCACAAGCCUGCUCAAAUUCGGAAAGAGGGGACGGAAAUGGAACCUCUUCAUGGGAGGAAGUUUUUGCUGAAGCACCAAAAUAGAGGCAAAGUUUUGUAGAGGCCAAGUGCUACCUUAUUCUCAAAUGGAGUUUUAGAUCAUCCAUGAAUUACUUGCAAAAGGGACGUCCUGAAACUCUGCACCACUAGACCAUCGUACACCUUUAAUGAAUUCUUAGAUGCAUUUUAUAUAUGAUGUAUGUACAUAAAAAUGAAUGAAUUCAUUAGAAGACAUUUUAAAAAUGGGAAUUUCCGUGGACAAAGAGUUUUAGGAAAGUUGAGUAUUUCUUUUGAAGCUACGUGAGGAGAGCUUUUGGAAAAGCACUAAGGAAUCUUGAUGCGUAUGCUUCGUGCUUCUGUAGACACACAGUUGGCACCUGACUCAGAUAUAAAAAAGUCUCAAGGUUUUAUUAUCGCUGGCAGAGCAAGAGGAGAGAUGGCAAGAGUGAGACACUGCAACCCACCCACUGAUGUUGGGGCGAAGAUGCCCUAGGCCAGACCUAUAACACAUAAAUAGAAAGGAGCUGGACUUGAGGGACUUGAUUUUGAACAGGACACUGUCAAAAGCCCCCACCUGGGAAACUGUACUAAUAGCCCCCACCUGGGAAACUGUACUAAUAGAAGAGUCAGCGUGGGGUGGUGUGUUAGUUUGUUUUGAUGCUGCUGAUGAAGACAUACCCAAGACUAGGCGAUUUACAAGAGAAAGAAGAGGUUGAAUUGCACUUACAUUUCCGCACGGCUGGGGAAGCCUCACAAUCAUGGCGGAAGGUGAGGAGGAGCAAGUCACAUCUUAACGUGGAUGGCGGCAGGCAAAGACACAAAGAAUGAGAGCCAAGUGAAACAGAUUUCCCCUUAUCAAACCAGCAGAUCUCACGAGACUUAUUCACUACCACGAGGACAGCAUGGGAGAACCCACCCCCACAAUCCAACCAUCUCCCACCACGUCCCUCCCAGAACACGCGGGAAUUAUGGGAGUACAAUUCAAGAUGAUAUUUGGGUGGGGACAUAGAGCCAAACAAUAUCAGGUGGACUGCCAGUAAAAAGGGGCGGGCGUGUGUUAAUGCUUUGGAGAAGGCAUUGUGUCUCUGAUAGGAACUACAGGUGAGAGAGAGAUCCCAGCGACAGAAGGUCGCCAAGGAAUCUGUGGGAGAGGAAAUAAGAAUUUGCCUGUCUGUUCCCAGUUGUUUGAGACUGGGGAGAAGACGAUGAGAAAAGUUUUAAAUUGGAUGAGAGGUUGAUACUCAGAUAUUAGGCAGAAAGGAACUUUUAUACCCCUGAAAAAUGAGAGUUCUUCUUAAUAACUAACUAGAAAAAAAUGUCAGAUCGGCCUAAUAUUUCAUCUGGGGAUAAAUAAGGACAGUUCAAAAUUAGAAAGAGCAGUAGUGAGGAAAAAAAAAUGGUCACUCUCUGCUUUUAACCUGACAACUCUUAUUCAGUCAAUUUAAAUGUUAUACAGGUUUUAGAUAAAAUACUAACAAGUAAAACACCUAUGAUAGAGUUCUGAGUAAAAUGUACAGCAUUCUGUACUUCAUAAAGAAUAUAAACUCAAGUUUAUUAUAUAUAUUACAUGUUCUCUCUAUAUUCUUUCUAUAUAAUCUAUUAUAUGUGUUUUCUCUAAUAGUAAUUAAAAAAACCCCACACAUACAGGUAUCUAUAGAAAAAAUUGGAUGCUGACACACUUACCUAAUGUUAAGAC